rnacentral:rRNA from 1 species
UCGAGAGGCUUCGGCAAUGGGGGAAACCCUGACCGAGCGACGCCGCGUGGGUGAUGAAGUCCUUCGGGACGUAAAACCCUGUCAUACGGGAUGAAAGAUUGAUCGGUUAAUAGCCCUUCAAUUUGACAGUACCGUAAGAGGAAGCUCCGGCUAACUCCGUGCCAGCAGCCGCGGUAAUACGGGGGGAGCGAGCGUUAUUCGGAUUUACUGGGCGUAAAGGGUUCGUAGGCGGUCAAGUAAGUCAGGGGUGAAAUCUAACGGCUUAACCGUUAAACUGCCCUUGAAACCGCUUGACUUGAGGACAUGAGAGGAAAGCGGAAUUCUUGGUGUAGCGGUGAAAUGCGUGGAUAUCAAGAGGAACACCAGUGGCGAAGGCGGCUUUCUGGCAUGUUACUGACGCUGAGGAACGAAAGUCAGGGGAGCGAACGGG